rnacentral:rRNA from 1 species
UACGGAGGAUUCAAGCGUUAUCCGGAUUUAUUGGGUUUAAAGGGUGCGUAGGCGGUUUGAUAAGUUAGAGGUGAAAUGUUAGGGCUUAACCCUGAAACUGCCUCUAAUACUGUUGAGCUAGAGAGUAGUUGCGGUAGGCGGAAUGUAUGGUGUAGCGGUGAAAUGCAUAGAUAUCGCGCAGAACUCCGAUUGCGGAGGCAGCGUACCGGCGCCACACUGACGCUGAGGCACGAAAGCGUGGGGAUCGAACAGG